rnacentral:rRNA from 1 species
CGUAACAAGGUUUCCGUAGGUGAACNUGCGGAAGGAUCAUUA